rnacentral:rRNA from 1 species
GAUGCCUUAGUAGCGGCGAGUGAAGCGGCAAAAGCUCAAAUUUGAAAUCUGGCACUUUCAGUGUCCGAGUUGUAAUUUGAAGAAGGUAUCUUUGGGUCUGGCUCUUGUCUAUGUUUCUUGGAACAGAACGUCACAGAGGGUGAGAAUCCCGUGCGAUGAGAUGUCCCAGACCUAUGUAAAGUUCCUUCGAAGAGUCGAGUUGUUUGGGAAUGCAGCUCUAAGUGGGUGGUAAAUUCCAUCUAAAGCUAAAUAUUGGCGAGAGACCGAUAGCGAACAAGUACAGUGAUGGAAAGAUGAAAAGAACUUUGAAAAGAGAGUGAAAAAGUACGUGAAAUUGUUGAAAGGGAAGGGCUUGAGAUCAGACUUGGUAUUUUGUAUGUUACUCUCUCGGGGGUGGCCUCUACAGUUUACCGGGCCAGCAUCAGUUUGGGCGGUAGGACAAUUGCAAAGAAAUGUGGCACUGCCUCGGUAGUGUGUUAUAGUCUUUGUCGAUACUGCCAGCCUAGACUGAGGACUGCGGCUUCGGCCUAGGAUGUUGGCAUAAUGAUCUUAAGUCGCCCGUCUUGAACCACGGAACCA